GAACGCUGGCGGCGUGCCUAAUACAUGCAAGUCGAACGGUCUUUUCUAUGGGAGCUUGCUUCCACUGAGAAGAUAGUGGCGAACGGGUGAGUAACACGUGGGUAACCUGCCCAUAAGAGGGGGAGUAACAUCCGGAAACGGGUGCUAAUACCGCAUAGUUUUCUUGAUCGCAUGAUUGAGAAAGGAAAGACGGCCUUUGUGCUGUCGCUUUAUGGAUGGACCCGCGGCGUAUUAGUUAGUUGGUGAGGUAACGGCUCACCAAGACGAUGAUACGUAGCCGACCUGAGAGGGUGAUCGGCCACAUUGGGACUGAGACACGGCCCAAACUCCUACGGGAGGCAGCAGUAGGGAAUCUUCCGCAAUGGACGAAAGUCUGACGGAGCAACGCCGCGUGAGUGAAGAAAAGGUUUUCGGAUCGUAAAACUCUGUUGUCAGAGAAGAACAAGUUGGAGAGUAACUGCUCCAGCCUUGACGGUAUCUGACCAGAAAGCCACGGCUAACUACGUGCCAGCCGCAGC
rnacentral:rRNA from 1 species